rnacentral:rRNA from 1 species
AUUGAACGCUGGCGGCAGGCCUAACACAUGCAAGUCGAGCGAGCGGCGGACGGGUGAGUAAUGUAUGGGGAUCUGCCUGAUGGCGGGGGAUAACUACUGGAAACGGUAGCUAAUACCGCAUCCCAUCAGAUGAACCCAAAUGGGAUUAGCUGGUAGGUGGGGUAACGGCGCACCUAGGCGACGAUCCCUAGCUGGUCUGAGAGGAUGAUCAGCCACACUGGUACUGAGACACGGCCCAGACUCCUACGGGAGGAAGCAGUGUGGAAUAUUGCACAAGGGGCGCAAGCCUUAUGCAGCCAUGCCGCGUGUAUGAAGAAGGCCUUCGGGUUGUAAAGUACUUUCAGUCGGGAGGCGUUACCUACAGAAGAAGCACCGGCUAACUCCGUGCCAGCAGCCGCGGUAAUUC